rnacentral:rRNA from 1 species
UACGUAGGGUGCAAGCGUUAAUCGGAAUUACUGGGCGUAAAGCGUGCGUAGGCGGCUUUGCAAGACAGAUGUGAAAUCCCCGGGCUUAACCUGGGAACUGCAUUUGUGACUGCAUGGCUGGAGUGCGGCAGAGGGGGAUGGAAUUCCGCGUGUAGCAGUGAAAUGCGUAGAUAUGCGGAGGAACACCGAUGGCGAAGGCAGUCCCCUGGGCCUGUACUGACGCUCAUGCACGAAAGCGUGGGGAGCAAACAGG